UACGGGGGGUGCGAGCGUUGUCCGGAAUCACUGGGCGUAAAGGGCGCGUAGGUGGUUUGAUAAGGGUGUGGUGAAAGUCCGGGGCUCAACCCCGGAUCUGCCGUGCCGACUGUCAAACUCGAGGGCUGUAGAGGCAGACGGAAUUCCGGGUGUAGCGGUGGAAUGCGUAGAGAUCCGGAGGAAGACCGGUGGCGAAGGCGGGUCUCUGGGCAGCAACUGACGCUGAGGAGCGAAAGCGUGGGGAGCGAACAGG
rnacentral:rRNA from 1 species